UACGGUAGGGCGCAAGCGUUGUCCGGAAUUAUUGGGCGUAAAGAGCUCGUAGGCGGUUUGUCGCGUCUGCUGUGAAAACCUAAGGCUCAACCUUGGGCUUGCAGUGGGUACGGGCAGACUAGAGUGCGGUAGGGGUGACUGGAAUUCCUGGUGUAGCGGUGGAAUGCGCAGAUAUCAGGAGGAACACCGAUGGCGAAGGCAGGUCACUGGGC
rnacentral:rRNA from 1 species